rnacentral:misc_RNA from 1 species
GUGAAUCAUCGAAUCUUUGAACGCAAAUUGCACUUUCUGGUAUUCCGGAAAGUAUGCCUGUUUGAGGGUCAGUUAAAUAAAAAUCGGUGGUGUGGCGGCGUUUCGUUGUGACGCGUCGGAAUUGACUUGUCUUACUUUCGGGUAAGUGACUUAAAAUUUUGCGUGAUUUUCGAACGUAUUUAAAUUUCUUAGGUACGUUUGAGAUAUCGAAUACUUUAUUAUGAUCGGGCAUCCUGAAGGGUCGCACC